GCCUUUGUGGUGUAGUGGGCAGCACACUCGGCGCGUAUUCGAGAGGUCUGUGGUUCGAAUCCCGGCUAGGGGA
rnacentral:tRNA from 1 species